rnacentral:sRNA from 1 species
UGUUUGCACUUAGCGGGAAGGGUAAGAACCUUCGACUAAGGUUCGACUCGAGCGCCAGCGAGAGAACGUUGCCGCAGGCAACGGCCCGAAGGGCGAGGCGCGAUAGCGCCGAGUAAUCCUUCCCCCACCACCA